CCCUUAGCUGUUCUGGGCCGCACGCGUGCUACACUGAGUGGAUCAGCGGGUCAGGUUGCGCGAAAGUGUUUCCUAAUCUUUAAAUCCGCUCGUGAUGGGGAUUGACGGUUGCAAUUUUCCGUCAUGAACGAGGAAUACCUUGUAAGCGCGGGUCAUCAUCCCGCGCUGAAUACGUCCCUGCCCUUUGUACACACCGCCCGUCGCUCCUACCGAUUGAGUGGUCCGGUGAGGCUUUGGGAUCUGAGCGGAAAGAGCGUUUCGCUGUUUCUGCCCGGAAAACUCAGUCGAACCUUAUCAUUUAGAGGAAGGAGAAGUCGUAACA
rnacentral:rRNA from 1 species